CAACACUACGCUCUUCCGUUCAGAACAACCUGAUCCUGAACCCCUCAAAGACAAAGGAGAUGGUGGUGGACUACAGGAGGAGGAAAACGAACAUUCAGCCACUGGUUAUUGGUGGGGACUGUGUGGAGAGGGUCUCUGAGGGUCGUCUUC